ACUGAAUUUUUCCAUGCAGUCAGCAUUAGGGUUUUAAACCCUAAACUGACCCUUUUUCCUUUAAUCAGCAUUAGGGUUUUAAACCCUAAACUGAGCUUUUCCAUGCAAUCAGCAUUAGGGUUUUAAACCCUAAACUAAAUUUUUCCAUGCAAUCAGCAUUAGGGUUUUAAACCCUAAACUAAAUUUUUCCAUGCAAUCAGCAUUAGGAUUUUAAACCCUAAACUGAGCUUUUCCAUUUAGUCAGCAUUAGGGUUUUAAACCCUAAACUGAAUUAUUUCCAUUCAGCCAGCAUUAGGUUUUUAAACCCUAAACUGAGCUUUUCCAUUCAGUCAGCAUUAGGGUUUUAAACCCUAAACUGAACUUUUUCCUUCAGCCAGCAUUAGGGUUUUAAACCCUAAACUGAGCUUUUCCAUGCAAUCAGCAUUAGGGUUUUAAACCCUAAACUGAAUUUUUCCUUUAGUCAGCAUUAGGGUUUUAAACCCUAAACUGAACUUUUUCCCAUUCAGUCAGCAUUAGGGUUUUAAACCCUAAAA
rnacentral:lncRNA from 1 species